rnacentral:rRNA from 1 species
GUAAAACCAGCCCCAUUCUUGUCUACCUUACUCGGUUGCCUCGGCGGGCCGCGCUCUUCCAGGAGAGCCGUUCGGCGAGCCUCUCUUUAGUGGCUAAACGCUGGACCGCGCCCGCCGGAGGACAGACGCAAAAAAAUUCUUUCAGAAGAGCUGUCAGUCUGAGCGUUAGCAAGCAAAAAUCAGUUAAAACUUUCAACAACGGAUCUCUUGGUUCCGGCAUCGAUGAAGAACGCAGCGAAAUGCGAUAAGUAAUGUGAAUUGCAGAAUUCCGUGAAUCAUCGAAUCUUUGAACGCACAUUGCGCCCCCUGGCAUUCCGGGGGGCAUGCCUGUUCGAGCGUCAUUUCAGCCCCUCAAGCCCGGCUUGUGUGAUGGACGACCGUCCGGCGCCCCCGUUUUUGGGGGUGCGGGACGCGCCCGAAAAGCAGUGGCCAGGCCGCGAUUCCGGCUUCCUAGGCGAAUGGGCAACAAACCAGCGCCUCCAGGACCGGCCGCCCUGGCCUCAAAAUCUGUUUUAUACUUAUCAGGUUGACCUCGGAUCAGGUAGAAUCCCGGUGCCG